UGCCUACGGGGCGCAGCAGUAGGGAAUCUUCCACAAUGGACGAAAGUCUGAUGGAGCAACGCCGCGUGAGUGAAGAAGGGUUUCGGCUCGUAAAGCUCUGUUGGGAGUGAAGAAAGAUAGAGGUAGUAACUGGCCUUUAUUUGACGGUAAUUACUUAGAAAGUCACGGCUAACUACGUGCCAGCAGCCGCGGUAAUACGUAGGUGGCAAGCGUUGUCCGGAUUUAUUGGGCGUAAAGAGAACGCAGGCGGUCUUUUAAGUCUGAU
rnacentral:rRNA from 1 species